rnacentral:rRNA from 1 species
AGUGAACGCUGGCGGUAGGCCUAACACAUGCAAGUCGAACGGCAGCACAGUAAGAGCUUGCUCUUACGGGUGGCGAGUGGCGGACGGGUGAGGAAUACAUCGGAAUCUACUUUUUCGUGGGGGAUAACGUAGGGAAACUUACGCUAAUACCGCAUACGACCUACGGGUGAAAGCAGGGGAUCUUCGGACCUUGCGCGAUUGAAUGAGCCGAGGUCGGAUUAGCUAGUUGGCGGGGUAAAGGCCCACUAAGGCGACGAUCCGUAGCUGGUCUGAGAGGAUGAUCAGCCACACUGGAGCUGAGACACGGUCCAGACUCCUACGGGAGGCAGAGGUGGGGAAUAUUGGACAAUGGGCGCAAGCCUGAUCCAGCCAUACAGGGUGGGUGAAGAAGGCCUUCGGGUUGUAAAGCCCUUUUGUUGGGAAAAAAAAGCAGCAGGUUAAUACCCCGCUGUUCUGACGGUACCCAAAGAAUAAGCACCGGCUAACUUCGUG